rnacentral:lncRNA from 1 species
AUGAGAUUUGCAGGGAGCCAGGGGCGCCGGAGCCCCUCUGAGUCCGGAUCCCGCGCCUCCGACCCUCCCGUCUCACGGCCGGUCGCAGGGGUCUUUCCAGCCUCUCCCUGUUACAGGGUCUCGGGGACCCAGGCUGCGCCGACCCUCCCAUGCCCUGUACGACGUCGGGGCCGGGGUCCCCGAAGCUCGCGGCGGGGGCCAAACAGCCUUGGCGGGCGGACCAGGGGGCGCGAGCCGCGAGGGGGCGUCCGGGCCGGGGGCGCGCUCCCGCCGCAGCACCGCGGGCGGCCUGGGAGAACUCGUCCCGCCCCGCCCGGGUCCCGCAUUGGAGCGGGCUCCGCGCCCCUGGGGUCCCGCUCCCAAACGCACCUCGCAGCCGCGCGCUCCGAAGUCCCCGAAGGACGGCGCGGGCGUCCGGCCCCUCGGCCUCAAACUUCGCGACCCCACCCGCCGCCCCGCGCCCCUGUGCCGCGAACGGGAGGAGAAACUUCACAGGGGCGGGGGUCGGGACUCACCCGGGAGCGAGCGCAGGCGGCGGCGGCGGCGGCGGCGGCGGCGGCCGCGGUGCCCGAGGUGAGGGGGCGGCGGCUGCGGGCUGCGGGCUGCGGCGCGGCGGGGGCGUGGGUGCCCUGGCGCGGAGUCCCCGCUCGGCCCCAAGUGCCUUUGCCGCAAGACUUGCUGAGCUCGCAGCCUGCGCCGAGGCGGCGGGAGGGGCUGAUCGAUGGGCGCGCGGCGAGCGCUGCAGUGCGGGGAGGAGACGGCGCGGGAGGGCGGGACCCGCAGCGGCGCGGGCCGGGGCGGCCCUGCCCUGCCCUGCGGGCGCUCUGCUCCCGCGCUCGGCGUCCGGCCGCCUGCUCAAGGUCAGGAGAGCGGACUCGCGGGCGGCAGGGGUCGCUCCGGCCGAGGCCCCCGUUCCCUCCGGGCCGGGUCUGUGCCCCUGGAGCCGCCCUCCACCCCACCCCGCCUGCAGGACCCGCUGCAGCGCAAGGCACAAACUGGGCUCAGGAGCACCCCCAGAACCUUUUCUGGGUCCCUGAACCCCGCUCUUGGCCCUCCAGAAGGCCUCCCCUACCUGCGGGGGCUCCCUGGGUGGCCUGGGCCUGUGAAGAUAGGGGGGCGCACCGGCAGGUGGGGGGAACGGCUGGUUUCUUACGUAGCAAAAUUUUCCACGAGUGUUAG